rnacentral:rRNA from 1 species
AGUUUGUGGCUCAUGCCGUGGGUCUCAAAGCUAACGCAUUAAAUAGACCGCCUGGGGAGUACGGCCGCAAGGUUAAAACUCAAAUGAAUUGACGGGGGCCCGCACAAGCGGUGGAGCAUGUGGUUUAAUUCGAUGCAACGCGAAGAACCUUACCAUCCCUUGACAUCCAGAGAAUCACCUAGAGAUAGAUGAGUGCCUUCGGGAGCUCUGAGACAGGUGCUGCAUGGCUGUCGUCAGCUCGUGUUGUGAAAUGUUGGGUUAAGUCCCGCAACGAGCGCAACCCUUAUCCUUACUUGCCAGCGGGUUAUGCCGGGAACUUUAGGGAGACUGCCGGUGAUAAACCGGAGGAAGGUGGGGACGACGUCAAGUCAUCAUGGCCCUUACGGGAUGGGCUACACACGUGCUACAAUGGCAGAUACAAAGGGUUGCUAACCUGCGAAGGUAUGCGAAUCUCAUAAAGUCUGUCGUAGUCCGGAUCGGAGUCUGCAACUCGACUCCGUGAAGUUGGAAUCGCUAGUAAUCGUGGAUCAGAAUGCCACGGUGAAUACGUUCCCGGGCCUUGUACACACCGCCCGUCACACCAUGGGAGUGGGCUGCACCAGAAGUCAUUAGCUUAACCUUUCGGGGAUGGCGAUGACCACGGUGUGGUUCAUGACUGGGGUGAAGUCGUAACAAGGUAGCCG